CACUGAACAGAUGCUAAUACCGGAUAACAACAGAUGAUGCCUAUCAACUGUUUAAAAGAUGGUUCUGCUAUCACUCUUGGAUGGACCUNGCGGUGCAUUAGCUAGUUGGUAGGGUAACGGCCUACCAAGGCGAUGAUGCAUAGCCGAGUUGAGAGACUGAUCGGCCACAUUGGGACUGAGACACGGCCCAAACUCCUACGGGAGGCAGCAGAU
rnacentral:rRNA from 1 species